AGAGUUUGAUCAUGGCUCAGGAUGAACGCUAGCGGCAGGCUUAACACAUGCAAGUCGAGGGGCAGCACGGGUAGCAAUACUUGGUGGCGACCGGCGCAAGGGUGCGUAACGCGUGAGCAACAUGCCCGUAUCAGGGGGAUAAUCCAGGGAAACUUGGUCUAAUACCCCAUAGUAAUCUUUUAAGGCAUCUUUUAAGAUUUAAAGCUUUGGUGGAUACGGAUUGGCUCGCGUGACAUUAGUUAGAUGGUAAGGUAACGGCUUACCAUGACUAUGAUGUCUAGGGGUUCUGAGAGGAAGGUCCCCCACACUGGAACUGAGACACGGUCCAGACUCCUACGGGAGGCAGCAGUGAGGAAUAUUGGACAAUGGAUGGAAAUCUGAUCCAGCCAUGCCGCGUGCAAGAUGAAGGUCCUAUGGAUUGUAAACUGCUUUUGUAUGGGAGCAAUAAGGUCUUCGUGAAGGCCGAUGAGAGUACCAUACGAAUAAGCACCGGCUAACUCCGUGCCAGCAGCCGCGGUAAUACGGAGGGUGCAAGCGUUAUCCGGAUUUAUUGGGUUUAAAGGGUGCGUAGGCGGUGAUAUAAGUCAGCGGUGAAAGUUUUCAGCUCAACUGGAAAAAUGCCGUUGAUACUGUAUCGCUGGAAUAUGGUUGCUGUGAGUGGAAUGUGUAGUGUAGCGGUGAAAUGCUUAGAGAUUACACAGAAUAUCGAUUGCGAAGGCAGCUCACAAAGCCAUUAUUGACGCUGAGGCACGAAAGUGUGGGGAUCAAACAGGAUUAGAUACCCUGGUAGUC
rnacentral:rRNA from 1 species